rnacentral:tRNA from 1 species
GGGCAUUUAGCUCAGUUGGUUUAGAGCGCUGCCUUGACAGGGCAGAGGUCACAGGUUCGAAUCCUGUAAUGCCCACCU